rnacentral:lncRNA from 10 species
CCGUGUUAGCCAGGAUGGUCUCGAUCUCUGGAUCUCAUGAUCUGCCCACCUCAGCCUCCUAAAGCGCUGGUAUCACAGGCGUAAGCCACUGCGCCCGCCCUGAAAUUUUAAUAUCGCACAUGCACUGCAUAUCUCUUUAGUACUAUACGUAUAUCUGGGCUUUACACAAAAAGAAUAUUUUUCUUCUCUUCACUUCUCCCAUCCCCCCCAAAAAAACUAAUUUCUGUCGUUUUGGGGACAAUAUUACUCUCACUGAGAGUGCAUGUUCACAUACAACCAUGAAUAGAGGUGGUUGCCAUGGGCUAUACCAGAAAUCCCCAUAAUUAAUAGGGCAUUAGGUAGAAUAUUCAUAGGGGUCUUGCCUCAGUCCUGGCAAGUCCUAGACCAUGUAUUACUAUGGCGGCCCCACUGAACAAAUCUUCAAAGAUUUGGAAAAAAAGAUCAAACCGUUUCCAAUAACUAAUUGGCAUCUCUGAGCAAAGUUCACAUGUAUUUCCAGUAACAUAAAACUAUCCAACACCAGGCCGGGCACAGUGGCUCAUGCCUGUAAUCCCAG